CCUACGGGUGGCAGCAGUGAGGAAUAUUGGUCAAUGGAAGGAAGCCUGAACCAGCCAUGCCGCGUGCAGGACGACGGCUCUACGAGUUGUAAACUGCUUUUGUACAGGGGUAAACUGCCUUACGUGUAGGGAUUUGAAAGUACGGUACGAAUAAGGAUCGGCUAACUCCGUGCCAGCAGCCGCGGUAAUACGGAGGAUCCGAGCGUUAUCCGGAUUCAUUGGGUUUAAAGGGUGCGUAGGUGGUUUUAUAAGUUAGCGGUGUAAUACCGAUGCUCAACAUCGGGGCUGCCGCUAAUACUGUAGGACUAGAGAUCGGAUGCAGCAGGCGGAAUGUGUAGUGUAGCGGUGAAAUGCAUAGAGAUUACACAGAACACCGAUUGCGAAGGCAGCUUGCUAGGCCGGAUCUGACACUGAUGCACGAAAGCGUGGGGAUCGAACAGGAUUAGAUACCCGGGUAGUC
rnacentral:rRNA from 1 species